rnacentral:lncRNA from 1 species
CCCAGCUGAGGAUUGCUGCCAUGGAUCCUCUUUGAAAGGUUGAUAAAUAAUCAUAGAAUUGUUUUCAUUGUACAGAAUGUUGUCCUUCAGCGUGCUGUGCACAUCUUGGAUUCUGUUCAGUUCUCUUAGUCAGAGAGCAGCCCCGUGCUCCAGGACAACAGAGAUACUUCUCAGUGCAGGUUGGCAUUUUUGUGGAUGAAUACCACUGGGAGUUAAGGACUUGCUGUGACUCUCACUCUUACUUAUAGGAGUUUUGCCUGCAGCAGUCACAUAGUUGAAAAAUAUGGAUCCAUGUGACUGCUAAGAGACCACUGAGAAGCCAACUGCUCUGCUCUGCGCUGACCCUUCCCACCCGCCUGCUCUCGGGCAUACCCUGCACUGCUGCCCAUGGCGUGGAGGAGCAGAACGGGAUGUGUUCCAUGCCCCUCACAGCCCAAGACCUGGCAGGAGCUCCACCACCCGCCCAGCUCUUCUUCACACAUCUCCCAGGCGCUAAGUGGGAAGAACUAGAGGUAGACCAGAAGCAGCCAGCACGCCCUGCGAGUAGGAGCUCCGAGGGACUUUGCAGCUCAGCUUCCAUUCUGCUCACCUGGUGCAUCCUCUGCACUCCUACGUACGCAGAGAAACAGAUUUUGAGUUCUGAUUGUUCUGUCCAAAGAAGGAAAGCUAGUUCAUGGAGCUUGCUGGAAUAA